rnacentral:rRNA from 1 species
GAUGAACGCUGGCGGCGUGCCUAAUACAUGCAAGUCGAGCGAACAGACGAGGAGCUUGCUCCUCUGACGUUAGCGGCGGACGGGUGAGUAACACGUGGAUAACCUACCUAUAAGACUGGGAUAACUUCGGGAAACCGGAGCUAAUACCGGAUAACAUGUUGAACCGCAUGGUUCAACAGUGAAAGACGGUCUUGCUGUCACUUAUAGAUGGAUCCGCGCCGCAUUAGCUAGUUGGUAAGGUAACGGCUUACCAAGGCAACGAUGCGUAGCCGACCUGAGAGGGUGAUCGGCCACACUGGAACUGAGACACGGUCCAGACUCCUACGGGAGGCAGCAGUAGGGAAUCUUCCGCAAUGGGCGAAAUCCUGACGGAGCAACGCCGCGUGAGUGAAGAAGGUCUUCGGAUCGUAAAACUCUGUUAUUAGGGAAGAACAAAUGUGUAAGUAACUAUGCACGUCUUGACGGUACCUAAUCAGAAAGCCACGGCUAACUACGUG